rnacentral:rRNA from 1 species
CAGGAAACAAGCUUGCUGCUUCUGCUGACGAGUGGCGGACGGGUGAGUAAAGACGGGGAAACUGCCUGAUGGAGGGGGAUAACUACUGGAACCUGUAGCUAAUACCGCAUAACGUCGCAAGACCAAAGAGGGGGACCUUCGGGCCUCUUGCCAUCGGAUGUGCCCAGAUGGGAUUAGCUAGUAGGUGGGGUAACGGCUCACCUAGGCGACGAUCCCUAGCUGGUCUGAGAGGAUGACCAGCCACACUGGAACUGAGACACGGUCCAGACUCCUACGGGAGGCAGCAGUGGGGAAUAUUGCACAAUGGGCGCAAGCCUGAUGCAGCCAUGCCGCGUGUAUGAAGAAGGCCUUCGGGUUGUAAAGUACUUUCAGCGGGGAGGAAGGGAGUAAAGUUAAUACCUUUGCUCAUUGACGUUACCCGCAGAAGAAGCACCGGCUAACUCCGUGCCAGCAGCCGCGGUAAUACGGAGGGUGCAAGCGUUAAUCGGAAUUACUGGGCGUAAAGCGCACGCAGGCGGUUUGUUAAGUCAGAUGUGAAAUCCCCGGGCUCAACCUGGGAACUGCAUCUGAUACUGGCAAGCUUGAGUCUCGUAGAGGGGGGUAGAAUUCCAUGUG